rnacentral:misc_RNA from 1 species
ACAAACUUGGUCAUUUAGAGGAAGUAAAAGUCGUAACAAGGUUUCCGUAGGUGAACCUGCGGAAGGAUCAUUAUCGAGUCUUGACAUGGGUUGUAGCUGGCCUUCCGAGGCAUGUGCACGCCCUACUCAUCCACUCUACACCUGUGCACUUACUGUGGGUUUCAGAUCGUGAAACGGGUCCGUUUACUCGGGCUCGCGGAGCGGUUUGUGCCUGCGUUUACCACAAACACUACAAAGUAUUAGAAUGUGUAUUGCGAUGUAACGCAUCUAUAUACAACUUUCAGCAACGGAUCUCUUGGCUCUCGCAUCGAUGAAGAACGCAGC